rnacentral:snRNA from 1 species
UGUAAGUGGCAGAGUGGCC